rnacentral:misc_RNA from 1 species
AACGCACAUUGCGCCCGCCAGUAUUCUGGCGGGCAUGCCUGUUCGAGCGUCAUUUCAACCAUCAAGCCCCCGGCUUGUGUUGGGGACCUGCGGCUGCCGCAGGCCCUGAAAGACAGUGGCGGUCUCGCUGUAGCACCGAGCGUAGUAGCAUACACCUCGCCCAGGGCGCGCAGCGGGCUCCGGCCGUAAAACCCCCUUCUUCACAAGGUUGACCUCGGAUCAGGUAGGAAUACCCGCUGAACUUAA